rnacentral:rRNA from 1 species
AUUGAACGCUGGCGGCAUGCUUUACACAUGCAAGUCGAACGGUAACAGGUUAAGCUGACGAGUGGCGAACGGGUGAGUAAUGCAUCGGGACGUGCCCGGUCGUGGGGGAUAACGCAGCGAAAGCUGCGCUAAUACCGCAUACGAUCUGAGGAUGAAAGCGGGGGACCGUAAGGCCUCGCGCGAUCGGAGCGGCCGAUGUCAGAUUAGGUAGUUGGUGGGGUAAAGGCGCACCAAGCCAACGAUCUGUAGCUGGUCUGAGAGGACGACCAGCCACACUGGGACUGAGACACGGCCCAGACUCCUACGGGAGGCAGCAGUGGGGAAUUUUGGACAAUGGGCGAAAGCCUGAUCCAGCAAUGCCGCGUGCAGGAAGAAGGCCUUCGGGUUGUAAACUGCUUUUGUACGGAGCGAAAAGGUCUCCUCUAAUACAGGGGGCUCAUGACGGUACCGUAAGAAUAAGCACCGGCUAACUACGUGCCAGCCGCCGCAGUAA